CAUGGCUCUCCUGGAGGUGAACCUGGUCUCUGGGUAUAUAGCGGUGGAUAAAUCAGUGAAUAAUCUUUUAUCGAAUGAAGUGGUUAAAAGGACAGAGAUCAGUAAAAGUUCAAUCAUUAUCUACCUUCAGGAGCUGAGCUCGUCUCCGGUCAACCUAUCAUUCCAGCUGGAGCAGGAGUGUCCAGUGAUUAACAUCCAGCCGGC